rnacentral:rRNA from 1 species
GAUGAACGCUAGCGGCAGGCCUAACACAUGCAAGUCGAGGGGCAGCACAGAAACAGCAAUGUUUUGGUGGCGACCGGCGGACGGGUGCGUAACGCGUAUGCAACCUACCUUUAACAGGGGGAUAACGGAGAGAAAUUUCCACUAAUACCCCAUAACAUCGAUCAAGGCAUCUUGAUUGGUUGAAAACUCCGGUGGUUAAAGAUGGGCAUGCGUUGUAUUAGGUAGUUGGUGAGGUAAUGGCUCACCAAGCCUACGAUACAUAGGGGGACUGAGAGGUUAGCCCCCCACACUAGUACUGAGACACGGACCAGACUCCUACGGGAGGCAGCAGUGAGGUAUAUUGGUCAAUGGGGGCAACCCUGAACCAGCCAUGCCGCGUGCAGGAAGACGGCUCUAUGAGUUGUAAACUGCUUUUAAACAGGGAUAAAGCACAGUAUGUAUACUGUGUUGAAGGUACUGUAAGAAUAAGGAUCGGCUAACUCCGUGCCAGCCGCCGCAGUAA